rnacentral:misc_RNA from 1 species
GGUAAUUCUUAAUGAUGUUCUUGACUUAGGUUGAAGAAUCUGCAUGAAAGAAAAUGUUGAGUUGUAAAAGAUCUUAAUAAGUGAGAUAUUAUAGUACCUCAUCAGCAUAAUUAACAGAAUAAGUCCUUUUGAGUGUCAUGUCACUACUUAGAAGUCUCUGUUUGUGUAAAUGGAUACAUUUUGACCUGCCAUAGCUUUGCCCUGAUGGAAUGAAUAAAAGGAAAAAUACACACUUAUUGGUUCAUGCAAGUCUACUUCCUGGGAAAAUACACACUUAUUGGUUCACACGAGCGGCUUGGCUCAUUUAUGCCCCUACUUAUUUUGCUUGUCAUAAAUCCCCUUUUCAUUUGAGGGGGUCUUCUUGAUGGCAAUUAGCUGCAGUUUUCUCUUGGCUUAUUUUAUACGUAUUUUUUUCUGGUUGCCCUUUAUAUUAUAAUUUUUGAGAGCCCCUAUCAUUAUAAUGUGACUUGUGAAUUUUCCAAGAGCUCUGAAUUUUGUUUUCAUUCCAAAGCAAGAGGAC